UACAGAGGUCUCAAGCGUUGUUCGGAUUCAUUGGGCGUAAAGGGUGCGUAGGCGGCCUAUUAAGUCAGGGGUGAAAGACGGUAGCUUAACUAUCGCAGUGCCUUUGAUACUGAUGGGCUUGAAUGUACUUGAGGUAGGCGGAAUGUGACAAGUAGCGGUGAAAUGCAUAGAUAUGUCACAGAACACCAAUUGCGAAGGCAGCUUACUAAAGUAUGAUUGACGCUGAGGCACGAAAGCGUGGGGAUCAAACAGG
rnacentral:rRNA from 1 species